UGCCCAGCAGUAUGUAGCCAACACAAAAGGAACUCAAUGGCAUUUUUGGAAGGCAUUUCAGAAUUCACUUAUCAGCCACAAGAUUGGUUCGUGUCUCGACAUCUGUAGCUUCAGCACACAAUGAUGGGAAAAUAAAGUCCUUAAAAGCCAGGUGAAGAGAGGUAGGAGGGAACAUAAGAGCAAGGGAGGUCAAGAUCAUAAUGGAGAAAUCUACAGAGACAGCUGAUCCAAGUUCAUGGAAACUCAUGAACUCUAGACCUACAACUAUGAAGACUCCAAGGGACUGAAGCAGGCCUUCCAUAUGUGGGAGCUAGCUGUGAAGCUUGGACUAGCAGAGAGGCCCCUGGCAGUAGGAUCACAAUACA